AUCAGGCUCUAUGCUAACCACUUGGGUCUUGAUCUCACUGAUGGUGAGAUCAUUACCUGAGCCAAAAUCAAGAGUCAGACCUUAACCAACUGAACCACCCAGGUGCCCCUAGAGUGGGAGACUUUUUGUUCGUUGUUCACUGUUUGUAUCUGUUCCAGCUUCCUUUCAGCUGAGGCAUGAUACUCUGCCAUCCUUCUAAAAUUUCUUUGCAGCUCUCAAAUGCAAGAACCACUUGGCCACAACAGUAGGGCCUUGAAUGUGGAGCUUUCCCAAGGGAGUUGGCUCUAAAUUAACAUUUCAUGACACGUACAGAGUUACUCUGCUCCUCCUGUGUGAUGAGUUGCCCUGAAUCCAGGAGAGGUGGCACAUUAAUAAGAGGCAGGAAAGGGUGAUAGUGAUCUAGGGGGGCCUCAGAUCAGAUCAUGAGUAAUGGUCUCUGUUCUGAUGUACCGUAGUCUCCCCUUAUCUGCAGUUUUGCUUUUCAUGGUUUCUCUUACGUGCAGUCAACUGGGGCGUGGACGCAGAUGAUCCUUUUCCUGAUGUUAGAAGGUCAGUAGUAGCCUAACGCUACAUCACUGUGCCUCAGUCACUCACCCUACUUCAUCUCAUCAUGUAGGCAUUUUAUCAUCUCACAUCGUCACAAGAAAGGUGCCUAUUGGAAUUUAUAUUCAUCCACCUUUUUUUAAUGUAAGGAGGGAAAAUGACUGCUGGUUCAGUGUGUGUCCCUCAGAUCAUACCACUGCGAGUGCCUCCACCUGGAAAAGCCAACCAUGAAAUUGAUAACAAUACACUUUUAGAAAUGAAAUCAGACACCCCAGAUGUCAACAUAUAUUAUACGCUGGAUGGCAGCAAACCUGAAUUUCUGAAGAGAAUCGGUUAUCGUGAAAACAAUACAUUUAAGUAUACGAAGCCUAUUACUCUGCCUGAUGGAAAAAUACAAGUUAAAGCUAUUGCAGUCUCUAAGGACUGCAGACAGAGUGGCAUUGUAACAAAGGUGUUUCAGGUGGGCUAUGAGCCACCAAAUACAGUGUCUUCUGAAGACAAUGUUGAAAAUAUUCUCAAAGAUUCUUCAAAGCAGGAAUUGAAAAAUGGGUUUGUUGGGUCAAAACUACGGAAUAAAUGUAAGAAUGCUGAAAAUAAACAGGGUUGGAAUGUUAAUCUUAGAAAGCCUCCAAGUAUGACAUGGCAGGACGAAGACCUUGAGGUAGGUGAAAGAACUGACUCUAAAACAUGGAAAGAUCUUCGUUUCUCAGAGAGUCCACUGGAAAUCCCACCUUACCAUGAAGAAUCAGGUUCUAGACCACCCACCCGCCAGUCUCAGUUCCCUAGUUUUGCACACAUAACUGGCCGGAAGAGUUUGACAAGCACAGAGAUCAUGAGAAUUCAAAGACAGACAGACUUUCUCAAGUGUGCCCACUGCCUGGCCCCCCGCCCAUCUGACCCCUUUGCUCGCUUCUGUCAAGAAUGUGGCUCUCCUGUCCCGCCCAUAUUUGGCUGUCGUCUCCCACCCCCAGAAGGAGCUCAGAUGGGCUUAUGUGCAGAGUGUGGAAACAUGGUGCCCAUGAACACUCCCAUCUGUGUGGUGUGUGAGGCCUCUCUUACUCUACAGCUGCAGCCAAAGGCCAGCCUCCGCUUGAAGGAGAAAAUAAUCUGCCGCACCUGUGGCACAGGGAAUCCAGCUCACCUGAAAUACUGUGUCACCUGUGAGGGGGCCCUGCUGUCAUCACAGGAGAGGGGGAUUGCAGAAUCUAAUAUUGAUCUGCCUAUUGAUAAAUGCCAUUGCAUUCAGCAGCCCAUGCGCAGUGAAGAUAAAGCCCCUCCUCCCCCCACUCAGAAAGGGGAGACCAUUUCCUGCUCCAAGUGUGGUCGCAGGAAUCGCCUGGAAGCUUGCUUCUGUGACUGGUGUGGAGCCACGCCAGGCAUUUCUGCCUGCUACUCUGUUUGCCCCAAAUGUGGGGCCAGCAAUCACCCAUCUGCCCGAUUCUGUGGUUCCUGUGGUAUUUAUGUGAAGUCCUUGGCAAGACUUAGCAUGGAUAACAACCUGGCUCUUGCUGCUGGAGAACUUCGCCCUUUUGCUGAGCCCCGAUCUGCCUGGCAGUCCCUAAAUGUUCCUUUGCUCAGACCUGAGGCUGGGACUCGGAAGGACGUGGGCACACAGACUACUGGCCUGUUCUACCCAUCUGGUGCACUACUGGCCAAAAAGGAACUGGAAAUGGCUUCUCAAAAGCAGAGGCAGGAGAAAAUGAGUGACCAUAAACCUCUCCUCACAGCUGUCAGCCCAGGAAGAGGGUACUGGAGAAAACAGUUGGAUCAUAUCUCUGCUCACCUCAGGUCUUAUGCUCAGAACAACCCUGAGUUCAGGGCUUUGAUUGCAGAACCCAGAAUGGGAAAGCUUAUCUCUGCUACUGUCCAUGAAGAUGGCUAUGAAGUUAGCAUCCAGCUGAAUUACAUUCAAGUAUCAAACAAGGUGAGGAACCUGAGGUUCAGAGAAAUUAAGCAACUUGCUUCUUCCAAGGUCCCUAAACUAAACCUUUACCUCAGCAAGGCUGUGGAUUUCAGCAGCCACUUCCUGAGCAGUGUCACUGAGGGUGGUAAUGGGCCAUUUGGCAGCAGGUCCAGCCUGGUGAGCAACUACAGCCAGAGCACCUCCGAUACCACUGAAAACGUCAAGAGGACAAAGAAUUUCAAGACCAAAACAUUCCAAGAAAAGGAGCAGCUCACACCUGAAAACAGGCUCUUGCUGAAGGAAGUGGGACCGACAGGGGAAGGAAGAGUCUCUGUGAUUGAACAGCUGCUCGAUGAGGGAGCAGAUCCCAACUGCAGGGACAGUGAGGAGCGACCCCUUAUAACCAUGGCUGUUGUGAAUAAGCACCAUGAAGCAAUUCCGGUUCUUGUGCAGAGAGGAGCAGACACCGAGCAGCGGUGGGGACCGCUCCGAAAUACAGCUCUUCAUGAAGCGACCCUCCUUGGCCUGGCGGGAAGGGAGUGCGUCGCUGCUUUACUGCGAUGCAAUGCAGGCAUCCAAAAGAAGAACACGAAUGGCCAGACAGCAUAUGACCUGGCUCUGAAAACUGGGGAUGAGGUCAUCACCUCACUCUUUGCUGCUAAGCUCGGCCUGGAUGACUCUUAGACCCAAGAGCCUGCGCGGGACCUGAUUUCAAGAAACCAUCCAGCUCUAGCUGUUCUUUGUUUCUUUCUGAGAUGUGUUAUUUGUGGUUUGGAAAUUGAGGUUGAGAGGAACGCAUAAGAUUUUUUUUUUUUUUUUAAUAUGACAGUGUAAGCCACCAUGUGGGCAUUUCCCAAUAUGCUCUGGAUGGUGACGAAUUUAACAUAUGUUUUUUAAAGGGUCUGUUGCUGCUUAUUUUGGAAUUUUCUUUAAAAUUUAUUUUUCAAUAGAUAAUUGCACAUGGUUCAAAGCUAAACAGUUUGAAGUGUUAAGUAGUAAAAACUCUGCUAUCCCUGUCCCACAGCCACCCACGUCCCCUCCUCAGAGGCUCCAAUGAUACCAGUGUCAUCUGCGUCUUUCCAGAAAUAGUAGAGGAUUAUAUAAGCACAUGUGCGUAAUAUAUGCAUAUGUACAUAUAGGGUAUGUAUAAAAUACAAAUACAGAGAACAGAUAUAUUCUUUCUCCUCUUUUAAGACAAGUACUAGCAAACUACACACCCGUCUGAUGUUUUACAUCUUGUUCUAUUCCUUAAUAUCUCUUGUAGGUGGUUCCAAAUUAGUACAUUAAGAUUAACUUUAUCUAAAGACUUUCAUUUCUAAUGUGAAAUAUUCCUAUUGUUGUGGUUUGUUCUCCGGUUGACAAACAAGCUUUGAAUAAGCCCAUGUGCAGGAAUGUGCAAUUUUGACUCACUCAUUUUUUCAGACUGUUAUUUCAGUCUUUGGGUGAUAACGCUGCAAUCGUGGAGUACCUAAAUAGUUCCUGUUAAACUAUGUUGACAGAGUAUCUGUUAGUUUAGAAUGAGUAAUUCAGCACAAUAAAUAAUAGACCUGGUUGAGUGGUUGCUGUUAUCACUACCUGCACUUCCUUUCCCGAGAUGGUGACUGCGGGAGGACAGGCGCAGAGUCUCUGGGAGCGAAGCCCCCGCAUGGGGUUUGGGGGCACCAGCACUGGCUCUCCCCUGUCCGACUCGGCCGGCCGUCUUUGCUGUGGGGGCCACUGCAAGGUCUUUCAACUGAAUCAGGCCAACCCAGACCUGCUAGGAUGAUCUCCCUUUCUUCAAGUCAGCUGACCAUGAACUUUAAUCACACUGCAAAUACCUUCCCAGCAACACCUGAAUUAGCGCAUGAGUGAGGGCUGGAGCUCAGGCAAGUCGACACAUUAAAAGA